AUAUAUCAAGAUCUGGAGACCACUCUACUUACUGCUGAAAACGGACGACUCGUUCAUAGGUUACAAAGAGAAUCCACAGGACGCAGACCUACCCUAUCCCCUUAAUACAUUUUCUUGUUGCAUAAUGCCAGACAGAAUGACCAAAGCCCAAAACAUUCAUCAUCAGAUGUCUACAGUGGAUCAUCAGAGAGGACCUUCCAUGUGGACAUGCCAGAGGAAAGACAAUGACUUUGACUACCUACGGCUACUGGGAAAAGGCACAUUUGAAAAAGUCAUUCAAGUGAGAGAGAGAAGGCUAAUAGGAAGUAUUAUGCAAUG